rnacentral:rRNA from 1 species
UACGUAGGGAGCAAGCGUUGUCCGGAAUCAUUGGGCGUAAAGCGCGCGUAGGCGGCCUCGUAAGUCCGUUGUGAAAGUCAAAGGCUCAACCUUUGAAAGCCGAUGGAUACUGUGAGGCUAGAGUCCGGAAGAGGCGAGUGGAAUUCCUGGUGUAGCGGUGGAAUGCGCAGAUAUCAGGAGGAACACCAACAGCGAAGGCAGCUCGCUGGGACGGUACUGACGCUAAGGCGCGAAAGCGUGGGGAGCGAACAGG